GGAGAUCCGUGCCUGCUCUUGCGCCUGCGCUUGCCUCGCGUCCGGUGAUCCUUGCGAACCUUGAGAUCGCCUCGAUCACCAGAGCGUCGGUGGCGGCGGCGGCGAUCUCGUCGCCGAGAAGUGGAGGAGGAGGAAUCGGAGACGGAAGAGGCGGAGGAGUGAGAAGAAUCGGAGGACGACGAUGAGGAGGAGGAAGACACCAUGGCCGGCGAAGGUCGAAAGCUUCACCCGUUGACC
rnacentral:lncRNA from 1 species